AUGCGAUAAGUAAUGUGAAUUGCAGAAUUCAGUGAAUCAUCGAAUCUUUGAACGCACCUUGCGCUCCUUGGUAUUCCUUGGAGCAUGCCUGUUUGAGUAUCAUGAGCAAAUCUCAAAGUCGAACCCUUUUGUUAAUUCAAUUGGUGUUUGCUUUGGACUUGGAGGUCUUGCAGAUUUCACAGUCUGCUCCUCUUAAAUGCAGUAGCUGGAUCUCAGUAUUAUGCUUGGUUCCACUCGGCGUGAUAAGUAUCACUCGCUGAGGACACUGGUAAAAAGGUGGCCAGGAAAAUACUGAUUGAACCGCUUCUAACGGUCUAUUAACUUAGACAAUUUACCCCCCUUAAGUUUGAUCUCAAAUCAGGUAGGACUACCCGCUGAACUUAA
rnacentral:misc_RNA from 1 species